rnacentral:rRNA from 1 species
GUUGAACGCUGGCGGCAGGCCUAACACAUGCCAGUCGAGCGGAUGAAGGGAGCUUGCUCCUGGAUUCAGCGGCGGGCGGGUGAGUAAUGCCUAGGAAUCUGCCUGGUCGUGGGGGAUAACGUCCGGACACGGGCGCUAAUACCGCAUACGUCCUGACGGCGAAAGAGGGGGUUCUUCGGACCUCACGCUAUCAGAUGAGCCUAGGUCGGAUUAGCUAGUUGGUGGGGUAAAGGCCUAACAAGGCGACGAUCCGUAACUGGUCUGAGAGGAUGAUCAGUCACAUUGGAAGAGAGACACAGUCCCGACUCCUACAGGAAGCAGCAGUGGGGAAUAUUGGACGAUGGGCGAAAGCCUGAUCCAGCCAUGCCGCGUGUGUGAAGAAGGUCUUCGGAUUGUAAAACACUGUAAGUUGGGGGGAAGGACAGUGAGUUAAUACCUGGCUGUUUUGACGGUACCAACAGAAUAAGCACCGGCUAACUACGUG